rnacentral:rRNA from 1 species
UACGAAGGACCCGAGCGUUAUCCGGAUUUAUUGGGUUUAAAGGGCGCGUAGGCGGGCCGCCAAGUUCGAGGUGAAAUCCUCCGGCUCAACCGGAGAACUGCCUCGAAUACUGGAGGCCUCGAGGCGGGUAGGGGCACGCGGAACUGUGGGUGGAGCGGUGAAAUGCGUUGAUAUCCACAGGAACUCCGGUGGCGAAGGCGGCGUGCUGGACCCGAUCUGACGCUGAGGCGCGAAAGCCAGGGGAGCAAACGGG